AACAAGGUGAGGACUGGAGAAAAAGUGAA
rnacentral:piRNA from 1 species